rnacentral:rRNA from 1 species
UUGAACGCUGGCGGUAUGCUUUACACAUGCAAGUCGAACGGCAGCACGGGGCAACCUGGUGGCGAGUGGCGAACGGGUGAGUAACAUAUCGGAACAUAUCCGGAAGUGGGGGAUAACGUAGCGAAAGUUACGCUAAUACCGCAUAUGCCCCGAGGGGGAAAGGGGGGGAUCGCAAGACCUCCCGCUUUCGGAGUGGCCGAUAUCGGAUUAGCUAGUAGGUGGGGUAAAGGCCCACCUAGGCGACGAUCCGUAGCUGGUCUGAGAGGACGACCAGCCACACUGGAACUGAGACACGGUCCAGACUCCUACGGGAGGCAGCAGUGGGGAAUUUUGGACAAUGGGCGCAAGCCUGAUCCAGCCAUACCGCGUGAGUGAAGAAGGCCUUCGGGUUGUAAAGCUCUUUCAGCCGGAAAGAAAUCGCACUGGUUAAUACCUUGUGCGGAUGACGGUACCGGAAGAAGAAGCACCGGCUAACUACGU